rnacentral:misc_RNA from 1 species
CUGAAGAAUGAGGAACAUUGGGAAAGGAACAAGAAAUCAAGGAAGGUUCCAGUAAUUUAGUUAUAGUGCAUUUUUUUGUAGUAAUAGACAUGAGUUUAAAUUUUAGACAUUAAUUCGCGGGCAUGUUAAAUAUUUUGAAGCAACGUGUGAAUAAUUUUCUAAUCGCUGGACUUUCUAUUAAGUAAAUUAAAGGUAUGCUCGAAGAAAAAGGGAUGAUUGAUAAACCUAACCCCACUUUGAAACUUGCUGGCUUCGGCUAUGAAGAUUAUAUUAGGUCUUGCAAGGAUGAAAAAGAACUUGGAAAAAUGAUUUACAUUCCCAGAGCAAACAAAGAAUGGACUUUUCUGAACAUUGAGGACAAACCUGAUAAUACAUUUUUGGGGUUUAGUUCAAACACACAGCCAAGCCCAACAGAGUCUAUAAAUUCGUUAAAUAGCAUGAACUCCGGUGAUUGGGUGAACAAGCAGGAUGAUGGUGUGUUAUGGAAUAAUGCAAUAUGCAUCAACGAAUUAAAAUUAAAUGAAGGAAACAACAAUAAUGAUGGACCUAUACCUACUGGACAUUCCCUCCGGGACAUGGAAAUGACUAUAAAGAAGGUGGCGGAGAAGAACAAAACUUGCACAGCACAAUAUGAAAAAAGUGACAACACACUACAGGGUAAACUUCAUGCUGACUCAGAAUUGAUGAAGAUGCAAUUAGAAAAAAAAGUACAAGAACAAGAGAAGGUAGAAAAGCAGAAGAGAGAGAGAGAAAGCAUGAGGGAUAAAGAAGAAAAGAAGAGGCAGAUGUGGCAAAUGGAAAUCAAUAGGUUGAAUGCUGUCAUCAAACAUGCAGAACAUCUUUCAGACUCUGAGCGGCAGCUUUUGGCGGAACGAGAAAAAGAAAUUGGUAAUCAAUGUUAUCGCCAGAAAGAAUAUGAUGAUGCCAUAGAAUACUACACGGCAUCAAUCAGGAUAUUUCCAACACCGAAGGCAUUCAAUAAUAGAGCUGCAUGCUACUUGAAACAAUGCAAAUAUGCAGCUGCUUUAGAUGAUGCUAACAAAACUCUAGAAUUGGACCCGUAUAACAUCAAAGCUUUGUUUCGACGAGGAGUUGCUUUGAAUCACAAAAAUGAAUUCAAAAGGGCUCUCGAUGAUAUAAAGGCUGUACUUAUGAAACAGCCCAAACAUGUCCUCGCUCAGCACAUGUAUAGAGAACUGCGUGAGCAGAUUAACUUGUUACCCAAGAGUAUUAGGGUGAUGAAUGAUGACGGGUUCAAUAACCCAAAGAGAGUUGUGGAGUUAAGACCAGAGGAAAUCAUCAAAAUCCGCUUGAACCGAAGGUGCUAUGAGGUCAAUGAACGAAACCUGCCUAGAGUGAUGUGUGAGUGUUCUGGCUCACCAAAAUUCCUUCAUUCCCUGCAAAGAAAGGCCCAUGUGGUGGCCCCUUUCCAAACUCCAGCUCCAUCCAUGCCUAGCACUUCAAGAAUUCUUGAGGCUGUGGAUGAACCUCAAUUAUCCAAGCCACCAACAAAAACUGAGAGAACUGGAUUAGAAAUAACUGAACAUAAUAAUGACUCUUUUAAACCAAAAAAAUGUGCUGUUGUUAGAGAUCGGACUCUGCUAAAACCACCAUGUAAUAAUAAUGAUAUUAGUGACAACCAACUGUCUACACAAUGUACAUCCACCAGAGAAUCUCCACCAAAUUCAGCAAGUACGGAAUCUGCUGGUUACUAUACCGCAGAAGAAGAGGACAUUGAAAAUGUGUCAAAUUAAAAUGAUGCUAAUGAUACAGUACUCUGUUAGAUUUGAACAAUUUUCAUCAUAGGUGCCACAACGGAAAGUUGGAAAAACUACUACUAAGAGAAAAACAUUGUUGUCAUAGUAAAAUUUGUUUCAUGUUCUUUUUUUUAAAGUUAAAACAAAAUUAUUUUUAAUAGUGACACUUAUAAAAUUCCAAUGUAACCCCAUUUUCCUAUAUAUGAAUUGAAUAUACGAUUUUAUGUUUAAAACUACGUUUUUGAUGUUCUACACAUUUCAAGUUGCUGCUUUAAAUAAAAUAAAAUACAAUACUUGGCAGUUUAAUUUGAUUGAAUUUCAUUCUCUAAUAGGAUAGUGAGUAGUUAUGCAUUAUACAGACCACACUUUGUUUAUGUUUAUGUACAAUGUAAAAAUGAGGAAAUAAUAAGAAAAUAGCAGAUUAGUAGUGGAUUUUGUUUAAAUUAAUUUUGUUCAUUUAUUAAAUUAAUGGAGUCUGUGGUUAUGUAUGUUUGAAUGUAUUUAUUACCCUAAAGUAUUGAGUGUGAGAUCAUGAAUUCCUCCCCAUGAAGUAAGUGUGGAUGGUAUAAUGCAUAAGUACCUAAUAAUGUUUAUAGUAUUUGUUUUGUAGUUAUAUUUUUGUUUAAAUUUUGUGACAUAAUUGAGUAUGCUUUAUGGUUCCUACUUAUUUUCAUUCUUAUUGAACCAUCUAUUAUUACAGUUACACAGUUGUACCCAUUGUACCCAGAGGACAUUGAAAAUGUGUCAAAUUAAAAUUAUGCUAAUGAUACAGUACUCUGUUAGAUUUGAACAAUUUUCAUCAUAGGUGCCACAACGGAAAGUUGGAAAAACUACUACUAAGAGAAAAACAUUAUUGUCAUAUUAAAGUUUGUUUCAUGUUGUUUUUUUUUAAGGGAAAACAAGAUUAUUUUUAAUAGUGACACAUAAAAUUCCAAUGUAACCCCAUUUUCCUAUAUAUUACUUGAUUUUAUGUUUAAAACUAGGUUUUUGAUGUUCUACACAUUUCAAGUUGCUGCUUUAAAUAAAAUAAAAUACAAUACUUGGCAGUUUAAUUUGAUUGAAUUUCAUUCUCUAAUAGGAUAGUGAGUAGUUAUGCAUUAUACAGACCACACUUUGUUUAUGUUUAUGUACAAUGUAAAAAUGAGGAAAUAAUAAGAAAAUAGCAGAUUAGUAGUGGAUUUUGUUUAAAUUAAUUUUGUUCAUUUAUUAAAUUAAUGGAGUCUGUGGUUAUGUAUGUUUGAAUGUAUUUAUUACCCUAAAGUAUUGAGUGUGAGAUCAUGAAUUCCUCCCCAUGAAGUAAGUGUGGAUGGUAUAAUGCAUAAGUACCUAAUAAUGUUUAUAGUAUUUGUUUUGUAGUUAUAUUUUUGUUUAAAUUUUGUGACAUAAUUGAGUAUGCUUUAUGGUUCCUACUUAUUUUCAUUCUUAUUGAACCAUCUAUUAUUACAGUUACACAGUUGUACCCAUUGUACCCAGAGGACAUUGAAAAUGUGUCAAAUUAAAAUUAUGCUAAUGAUACAGUACUCUGUUAGAUUUGAACAAUUUUCAUCAUAGGUGCCACAACGGAAAGUUGGAAAAACUACUACUAAGAGAAAAACAUUAUUGUCAUAUUAAAGUUUGUUUCAUGUUGUUUUUUUUUUUUUAAGGGAAAACAAGAUUAUUUUUAAUAGUGACACAUAAAAUUCCAAUGUAACCCCAUUUUCCUAUAUAUUACUUGAUUUUAUGUUUAAAACUAGGUUUUUGAUGUUCUACACAUUUCAAGUUGCUGCUUUAAAUAAAAUAAAAUACAAUACUUA